UUACCGUGAAAAAAUUAGAGUGUUCAAAGCAGGCAGAUCCAAUUUUCUGCCACCGAAUACAUUAGCAUGGGAUAAUGGAAUAGGACCCUGUCCUCCUAUUUUCAGUUGGUUUUGGCAGCGCGAGGACUAGGGUAAUGAUUAAUAGGGAUAGUUGGGGGCAUUAAUAUUUAAUUGUCAGAGGUGAAAUUCUUGGAUUUAUGAAAGAUUAACUUCUGCGAAAGCAUCUGCCAAGGAUGUUUUCAUUAAUCAAGAACGAAAGUUAGGGGAUCGAAGACGAUCAGAUACCGUCGUAGUCUUAACCAUAAACGAUGCCGACCAGCGAUUAGGAGACGUUGAAUACAAAACACCACCAUCGGCGCGGUCGUCCUUGGCGUCUGUCCCUUUCAACGGGGGCAGGCGCGAGGGCGGUUUAGCCCGGUGGCACCGGUGAAUGACUCCCUAGCA
rnacentral:rRNA from 1 species